UAGGAAUCUUGCGCAAUGGGCGAAAGCCUGACGCAGCAACGCCGCGUGAGGGAUGAAGGCCUUAGGGUCGUAAACCUCUUUUAGUAGGGAAGAAAAAAAUGACGGUACCUGCAGAAAAAGCACCGGCUAACUCUGUGCCAGCAGCCGCGGUAAUACAGAGGGUGCAAGCGUUAUUCGGAUUUACUGGGCGUAAAGGGCGCGUAGGCGGUUUUAUAAGUCCUGUGUGAAAGCCCCAGGUUCAACCUGGGAAGUGCAUUGGAUACUGUAAAACUAGAGUAUAGGAGGGGAGAGCGGAAUUCCUGGUGUAGAGGUGAAAUUCGUAGAUAUCAGGAGGAACAACAGUGGCGAAGGCGGCUCUCUGGACUAUUACUGACGCUGAGGCGCGAAAGCGUGGGGAGCAAAC
rnacentral:rRNA from 1 species